ACCAAAGAAGUAAAUAAUAAGCAUCUAUAAAAGCCCCCUUCCACUCCUAGUCUCAACCAGCAUUCAACUUCUCAAAUCACGUUCAUCUCUCUAGUUCUCUCUUGGUGUGUAGAUGGGACACUCCAUGCGUUUGUUUGCAACUCUCUUCCUUGUAGCAAUGCUGCUUUUGGUCAUUGAAAUGGGACCAAUGAGCAGUGCAGAGGCGGCAAAGACCUGCCAGUUUCAGAGCCGCUAUUUCAAGGGGCCAUGUCUUAGCGAUGCCAAAUGCGCCUCCGUCUGCAAGAUCGAUUACAAAUUCUCCACCGGCGGACACUGCCUUGGCCUUCGCCCCACCUGUAUCUGCACCAGAGACUGUUAAAAAAUAAAGAGAGGAGAAAUGAUCUUUUAAUUGUCUCUGUAAUUGUUUCUUUUUAAAGUAUCCAUGAGAAAUAGUGUUGUUUAAUAAAAAGACUAGCUAGCAUCAUAAAUAUUGGUGCUUAAAUUAGUCCUUGCCUGGUU